rnacentral:rRNA from 1 species
UUGUGCCAGCCGCCGCGUAAUUCCAGCUCCAAUAGCGUAUAUUAAAGUUGCAGUUAAAAAGCUCGUAGUUGAACCUUGGGCCUGGCUGGCCGGUCCGCCUCACCGCGUGUACUGGUCCGGCCGGGCCUUUCCUUCUGGGGAACCUCAUGCCCUUCACUGGGCGUGUUGGGGAACCAGGACUUUUACUUUGAAAAAAUUAGAGUGUUCAAAGCAGGCCUUUGCUCGAAUACAUUAGCAUGGAAUAAUAGAAUAGGACGUGUGGUUCUAUUUUGUUGGUUUCUAGGACCGCCGUAAUGAUUAAUAGGGAUAGUCGGGGGCAUCAGUAUUCAAUCGUCAGAGGUGAAAUUCUUGGAUUGAUUGAAGACUAACUACUGCGAAAGCUUUUGCCAAGGAUGUUUUCAUUAAUCAGUGAACGAAAGUUAGGGGAUCGAAGACGAUCAGAUACCGUCGUAGUCUUAACCAUAAACUAUGCCGACUAGGGAUCGGACGGUGUUAGUAUUUUGACCCGUUCGGCACCUUACGAGAAAUCAAAGUUUUUGGGUUCUGGGGGGAGUAUGGUCGCAAGGCUGAAACUUAAAGAAAUUGACGGAAGGGCACCACCAGGCGUGGAGCCUGCGGCUUUAAUUUGACUCAACACGGGGAAACUCACCAGGUCCAGACACAAUAAGGGAUUGACAAAUUGAGAGCUCUUUUCUUGAUUUUGUGGGGUGGUGGUGCAUCGCUCGUUCUUAGUGGUGGAGGUGAUUUGUCUGCUUAAUAGCGAUAACGAACGAGACUAAUCUGCUAAAUAGCCAGGCCGCUUGGCGGGUCGCCGCUUCUAGAGGACUAUCGGCUCAGCGGAUGAAGUUUGAGGCAAUAACAGGUCUUGCA